rnacentral:rRNA from 1 species
AUGGACAGGGAGGCGCAUAAACCUAGGGAGUUCAGGUUUGAUCUGGCCUGGCUUAAAAAUGAGGACUUUUUACCCUUAGUGGACAAAAUCUGGAAUAAAGCGGUUAAAGCCGAAGAUCCUAUUGAUAUUCUUAAUAUCAAACUAAAAAGGUUUAAAACCUUCUUCAAAGGGUGGGGGUCCAACAAGUACGACCAUACCAAGAAGAGAAAAGAAGAAUUAAGAGUGGAACUGUCCACUCUUGAGGAUCUCGAAGAAGAGGGACCUCUGACCCCUGAGAUGUAUAGUAGAAAGGUGGAUAUUAAUUUUGAACUUCAUGAGAUUCUGGUGAAUGAGGAGAUUUUCUGGCUACAACAAUCCCAUGAGCGUUGGCUGCUCAAAGGGGAUUUGAACACAGAUUACUUUCAUAAAAUUGCAAAUGGGCGAAAAAGGAAGAAUACCAUUCAUGCCCUCAAAUAUGGCGAUGUCGAGAUAGAAGGAACUGAUAACCUUAUCUCACAUGCCACAGAGUUUUAUAAAAACCUUUUCGGCCCAGCCCCAGGCAACUUAUUUCACAUGGAUCCUGGCUCAUGGGAUGAAUCGGAAAAACUUACUCAAGAGGAUAAUGUUGAUUUGACUAGA